GUGGAGGAAGGGCAGGAAGGGAUUUUUUUAUUGAGGAGGGCAGGACUUUUCCGUGAUCGGCGGAGGGGUUCGGGUUGAGCGGCUUUGGGUCGUGGGGUACUGGGCUAGCUAGUGGCUACCGCAAGCCGCUCCAGUACGGGAUCCGGAGUAGGAGCCGGCGGGACUGUCGCCUAGCUUAGUCGCAUCAACCGCGUACCCUGCCGAGGGACCUCCACAUGGACCCGCGAACCUGCCCCGACUACGACGCGCAGCUCCACCGCGCCACCCGGCCCCAGGGCCGCGUACGGCACCGCUCGAUUAGAGUUGGACUGCGACCAGUGGUCGCGCCGUAGUACGGUGGACCGGCCGCGACGUCGCUGCACCAAUUCUCCCUCCACCUACUCCGUCUCAGACGCGAGCCGCAGCGCCUCUAGACCUCCUAUGUACUAACACACCUGUGUCGCCGCCGCACCGGCCCACCCCGCCGUACAACUAAAAGAACCCCCAUCCAAAAACGACGACCACUGGAAAAUUCUUUAAAUUCUCUAGGUCACGUGCCUUUCUACGAUAACUCAACCCUCUGGUCCACCUAAACUUCGAGUAACCAGUUGCAAGUCAGUUUAAAGUAUAACUUGUCCAUACAGGAACUACUAGACCACGAAGAUUAGAAAAAACGGAUAUCAAGCCUGGAAUUCGGAGAGAAUGAAACAGGUUAUAUCAAUCAGACGUAUACUCUUGUGUGCAUACAGUUACCUAUUCGUUAACUGGAGAUUAGUUAGUUCCAAACGUUUGAGUAGGUCUAGAGUUAGAAUUACCAAGUUCUUAGUUGUAAAUGUGAAAUUUCACAUAAGUAACUGGUUAAGAAAAACUUUAUACGUAGACCCGGUAGCUUCCGUUCUACGAAUACAAUACAAAAAUAAGACUACUGUUUAAUAGAAGAAACGGACAACCAUCGACGAGUACUCUUUAAUCCUAUAUAAAAAUGACGAAAUCUACGUUCGUAGAAGAAAAGGUACCCGGACGUCGAUAAACAAACCUUUAAUUCAACUUCAAUUGCUGUAAACAAUAAGACGUACCCGUCCCUACGUCUCAUAAUUUAUAAAGAUCCUGUAUUUCAUGUAGCCGUUAAAUUCAUAAAUUCAUCACAUAGUUAAAAGUGACAUAAGAGUCAAAAUUAGAAUCACAUCGAAUACGGGUCUAGAAAUCAUAUACUAAUUAGAGUAGAUAAAGAACACUCUACGGCUGACUUAUUCCUUUGGUCAUUUCAAAGGGCAAGAAUCUAGAUUACGAAGGAGAGAGAGUUAUACUAUUGGUAGAUUUAACAAUAAUAAUAAAUGUGACACUACGAUUAGAAUAAACAAAACUUUUUCUACUUAGAUGUACUAUCUAUACUUGAGUCACUUAUUUUAAACCCUGAUUGUAAGUUCGUGUUAUUACACUUAUGUUGUAUACGGACGACCACACGACCUUAAGUGGUCAACAUAGUUCUUUUGUUUUUCAUUUUGUCCAUACGGUUUACUCACUUUAAAGAAUAAGAUGAGAAAUGUCGAUUUUCGUAUUAGACGGAAUAAAAAGAUGGUUCUAUGGGCUUAUCAAUAUCAGUUAUAUAACCAAAAGAACCAAAACUGGGCCUUUGAGCUACAUCAACAUUGGGGGCCAUACUAACUUUUAGAUUUUAAUAUUAAAGUGUACUGAUUUACAGGGGUAAUUUAAAUAAAGACAACAGAGAUCUUAAUUGUCACGAAGUUUACUAUUAAAGGUUGAUGGUGAGAAUCUAUAACCAAGUAGCAAACGUGAGAAUUUUAAUGUUACACAAAACAGCCUCGACCAAACGGGACUAGAGUGGUUAGGUUAUUGAGUACUUAAAAAAUAGAUAAACUUAAUGUAUUAUGUCCCAAUUUAUACAUCUGCACACUAAGAAACAAAAUCAACAGAGGGCGACUUGUAUAUAAGAAUCGACGCAUAAAAAAUCAAAAGACGUCCAACAACCCUUACAAUUAAGUUAGUCACGAGAUGAACUGUCCAGAACUGAAGAAAUAAUGAAUAAUGAACGAAUUGUUGGCAAAAAUUUUUUACGCAUCGUUAGACAACAUCGACAUUAUAUAACUCAGCUGUUUGAUACGAUAUUAGAAGAAUCGGAAACGGUAUUAAAGUUCGUUCUUAAACCGCCCUGAUUGUAAAUAAACGUCCGUUUUCUCUCUCAUGUUGAAAUAGUGCACGCUCACACUACUUUACUAUCGGGGUUUAAAGUUAUGUCGCAACUCCUCUUCAUGAUGUAGUAACUACCAUAUAGAACAAUUAAAGAAUCAUAGAACCUUGUCACUACACGGUACAAUUGUUCACUACCGAUUAAACACACAACAAACAUUAGAAACGUCAAAACUCAUGACCAGAGUGGAAGAAACUAACUAUUAAAAAAAUGAGAAAGUGCAGUAAAUGAAGUUUCAAACUCAAAAGGGAGUAUAUAUAUGUGUAACUAUACCAAUGCUCAUUCCCUACACCUAGUUAAACGUGCAUCCCAUUCCCGUACACUUAAAAAAAGAGGGCAACGUUGCGUGUCCGUUGAAACGAUAAGUUUGGAUAUCGGAUAUUAUUUGGGGUCAAACAAUUAGUUCAAAUUUGUAAAGUCAAGGCAAAAACCCAGCCUUAAAGUCACCGGUACAUUCUGACCUUUAACGAGUAGUACACAAGGAAUUACAUAUAACACGGUUAUCGAUAAUUUGGAAGCUAUACGACCUCCCGCUACUCCACCGUACCUCGAUUUGUAUCUAACUUCUAAGACAGUACCCAAGGAAUCUCUUCUACCUUGUUUACUCAUACCUCUAGGUCGACAACUUCUACGGCUCCCUGUUCUUGUAAGUCUUCAAAAAGCGGAUUGUUCUUAUGUAAAUUGUAGUAGUGUCUAACGAAAUCCAUUCGAAAUGAGUCCAACGAUGAGUACAGUAUCACAGAUAUUAAAUCGAUCUCAGUCCAAGUCUCAACUGACUAAAAAAAACCGUGUUGGUAGUUCGUUGGACUCAUUUCGACUGGAUUCGGUUACUAAAACAAGAAAAUCGAUCUCGGUCCAAGUCUCAACAAGUGAGCCCUAAAAAACCCGUGCCUGUAGUUCGUUCGAUCGUGCAUAACAAAUUGACUUCCUUUCCCGUUGAUUCGAAACUUACGAUGUAAGAAACAAGACUUGUUUACAUCGAUGAUAAACAUAAGCUACGACCUGAGGACCAUUGUUAAAUAAUGACAUGUACAAUAAAGAAAAAAACCACUCAGAAAAGAUCCUAAUACCUCAAUUGCCCACAAUGAAAACUGGACGAUUAUGUCAACACAAUUUGAAAAACGAGAAGCUUUCGUUGAUACAUUCAGACUGCGAUUGUAUCACAAAUGACGAUUUUAUGAAAUCAAAUUGAAUUCUCAGUCCUCGUGUUCAUCUUAAAGUAUCUUUAGACAGAUCGAGGACAUCUACUUUCUGAAGGACGUUCACUCGAGAACUUAUUGAGAAUGGAGGUCCUUCUACUCCAGAUAGGGUCGCGGAGGUCAAAGUCAGAGAGACCAGAGUUCACACUGACUUCUAUCCACCGUUAGACGUUCAAAGCACGAAACCUUUCCGACAAAUUUCUUACGACUCAACAGUUCGCUCCACGACGUCACCGACCGCAACGGCCCGUACCCUGUUGCAGGGAUCCGAGGACGAACUCCGUUCGGAGAGGCUGGAGGAGCCUACGGAAGAUCCUUGACCGUGACGCAUACUACCGGAGGAGUGGAUCUUGGAUCCAACUGGAUCGGUGACGGUAGCUUCGCCUCUCAACUGUUGUAUACAUACUAACAAGCUGCCACAGUCAGGACGGUAACCUUACAAGUUUUGAUACUUAACUCACUAAUGUUUAUACGAAACUAGUUACUUUACUUUGCUUUAAAACGAUGUAGAACAACACGUCUAUAUCCCGAACUUAAUAAAAGCCAGCAUAGUAGA
rnacentral:rRNA from 1 species